UGAUAGAUACAACAGAACUUACAGUGGC
rnacentral:piRNA from 1 species